GAUCUAGUGGAGACGCAGUGGGGCCUGUAGCUCAGAGGAUUAGAGCACAUGGCUACGAACCACGGUGUCGGGGGUUCGAAUCCCUCCUCGCCCAC
rnacentral:tRNA from 1 species